rnacentral:rRNA from 1 species
GGGAUAACCGCUGAAAGCAUCUAAGCGGGAAACCCACCUGAAUACUAGAUUUCCCCAUUAGAGUCGUGGAAGACCACCACGUUGAUAGGUUGGGUGUGGAAGUGCAGCAAUGCAUGAAGCUUACCAAUACUAAUAACUCGAUUGGCUUGAUUAC